ensembl:lncRNA
UUUUUUUUCAGGACUACUGCUUUCCUCUUUCACUUUAUUUAGGACUCUCCUUAAAACUUGCUUUGAUGCCUAAGAUGUUCAGGAAUCCCCUGAGCAGCGGCUGUGAUGCUCUGUGCUUAGGUCCACACUGCCUUGCUGCUAUGUUGCACUCCACCAUCUUUUUUAUGUUCACCUGUUGUUUGUCCUCUAGAAUUUGUAUUUCAAACCCUGUGGGUCAAAGUCUGCUUGCGUUACGUGCAUAUGCAGCACCUACUGCUGUGAAUUGGGGUCAUGCUGUCUGUCACCUAGUUCGUAAUUGGUUUUCUGGUCCAUGCUCUGAAGAUGACUCUACUCUGCUCAGUCCUAUCUGGGCUGCCGAUUUGCUGAUAUGGCAUUCCUUUGCUUUUCUCAUUUUCACCUGCACGGCAGUCCAAGUAAGCUGUUAAGUACAACCGGGAUAGAGCAGGGUAUUAUUGUCUUUGUCUGAAUACACAGAUGCAUUCUGACACCUCCUAAUCCUCAAGGCCAGGAUGUCAAUAAAAACUGGAAAUGCUGUGGCAUCAUCAUAUCUCACCUUCAGUAUAAUCCUAACGCAGGGUCUGUGGCCUUGGAUAUGUGAUGGAUGAGUUUUUAUCACUCCGUUCAGUUGCUUUAUAAUGGCAUACAAUGAUUGUGCUGUCAAUAAGUAGCUAUAACCUAUGUCUGCUCUACAGGUCAUUCUGCUCCCUUAACUGCCUCUCUACAGCCCUCAGCCCUAAAUUUUAAAUCUGUGCAAGAAAUAAUGCGUGCCUGUGAAAUUAAGGCUUAUAUUCCUCUUGUUAUUAAUCAGCUCUUCCCUAGCAGCCUCUGAUUAUGCUCCACACUGCAUUAGCAUGACUGCAAUGCUCGAGAUCCAUCUCCCCAUCACGUCCUUUUCUUUCUCUGAUUCCUUUUCUAACUUCUAGCAGAAGAAGGGCCAUUCAUUCAGAAGGUGGCAGGUGUGAAGUGCUGGAGUUUAACAGAAAAAAAAGAAUAGGCGAACAAUGCAUUUAUUAGACUAUUUCAUGUGAAGAGGAAAGGAAGGGGUUUCAAAGAAUGGGGAAGAAAAAUUAGAGGGCAGUGUGACUAGAUCUGAAUUUAGAUUAAGGUUAAGCAACUUCUGAAAGUUUAUUUUCUUUUUUUUCCCCUCCAGCUAAGGACAGCCCUUGAAGAUGUCAACAGACAAAAGAGAAAUAAGCCUAAAUCUAAAUCCUGGUCUUAAUAUACUGAAACCUCUGGGAAUCCAGAUCUAGCUCCACUCAGGUGCAUUGCAUUUCAUAGGCAGGGCAGAGACAGAGUUUUGGUUUAUUUUUUUCCCCUCUUUUUCCUGAGGAAAGGAAACAAAAGGGAACACUUUGGGUCACCCUAAUGAACCAGAUUAUGACAUUGUUUUAGCACUGUUUUACCUAACAUCUCAAGUAAGAUGUUAGGCAGCCUGAGGCACUUGUAGGUCAUGGUGCCCCCAAGCACCACCCGGAGCACCCACCUCUGCCCACAGGGCAGGGCCUCCAGCCCAGCACCCCGCCUAGUCCCACCCAAGCUGUGCUCCUUGGGCCCCUCCUCCUGGACGACCUUGGGCCCACAUCACAGCCUGGGUUUCUGCACCAUCUGUUGCUAAUCCUGUCUGAAACCAUCUAAACCCUGGUCCUGACUCACCCCAGUCAUGGCACCCUGGAGCCUUCAGGAUGGUGUCCCAAUAGUGAUGGUGUGUGUAGCAGCGUCACCCCAGCUCCCAGAUUGGCCCCCAAAUACAGAGCAACUCCACCAGCGCUGCAUCCUGGCACAGAAGUAAAAGCAAGCAGUUUUCCUGAUGGUCUUGUGCGGAAGGAGUGGCCUGAGCAUGCCCGUGUGGGACAGAGGAAAAGGAAACCCAGGUAUGGGCAAGGUGGUGGGGGAAGAAGUAGGACUAUGUUGCUGAGCAGAGAGGAAGAAAAGGAGCGAGGACAAGGACAGAAAGGAACAUGCAUGAUACGAACAGCUGAGAGGCUCUGAUACAGCAGGGGACGGGGGCAGAACAGGAACUCACACGAAGAACAAAUGCACUUUGACUUGCAAAAAGCUUGGCCUACAGAAAAAUACAACCUUCCCCCAUCCUGUCAGCCUGCCAGAUAACAUUUGUCGAAUGAUUUGAGACCAGAGCACAACAGAAAGAUAAAGAUAUUAUCAUCUUCCAUUAUUAAAUCCUGAUGGAGGAUUUCUUAAAUGCAGUCGCUUCAGAGGAAUGUGUUAUUUUUUCUCUUGACAUGUGAGAUAGUGAAAAAGUAGGACUUUUUCCUCUGAGUUUAGACUGCAGUUUGUCACUGAUUAGAGGAACCAGAACUUCUCUGCAAUUGGUGGCUCUGAGCCAUCUUCAUGAUGCUGGUGCAGUAAACACACUCUGACAGUAG